rnacentral:rRNA from 1 species
AGAGUUUGAUUAUGGCUCAGGACGAACGCUGGCGGCGUGCUUAACACAUGCAAGUCGAACGAGAAGAGAUGAGAAGCUUGCUUCUUAUCAAUUCGAGUGGCAAACGGGUGAGUAACGCGUAAGCAACCUGCCCUUCAGAUGGGGACAACAGCUGGAAACGGCUGCUAAUACCGAAUACGUUCUUUCCGCCGCAUGACGGGAUGAAGAAAGGGAGGCCUUCGGGCUUUCGCUGGAGGAGGGGCUUGCGUCUGAUUAGCUAGUUGGAGGGGUAACGGCCCACCAAGGCGACGAUCAGUAGCCGGUCUGAGAGGAUGAACGGCCACAUUGGGACUGAGACACGGCCCAG